CCUACGGGAGGCAGCAGUGGGGAAUAUUGCACAAUGGGGGGAACCCUGAUGCAGCGACGCCGCGUGGGUGAGGAAGUACUUCGGUAUGUAAAACCCUAUCAGCAGGGAAGAAAAUGACGGUACCUGACUAAGAAGCCCCGGCUAACUACGUGCCAGCAGCCGCGGUAAUACGUAGGGGGCAAGCGUUAUCCGGAUUUACUGGGUGUAAAGGGAGCGUAGACGGCGUGCCAAGUCUGAUGUGAAAGGCCGGGGCUCAACCCCGGGACUGCAUUGGAAACUGGCAUGCUGGAGUGCAGGAGGGGUAAGCGGAAUUCCUAGUGUAGCGGUGAAAUGCGUAGAUAUUAGGAGGAACACCAGUGGCGAAGGCGGCUUGCUGGACGGUAACUGACGUUGAGGCUCGAAAGCGUGGGGAGCAAACAGGAUUAGAUACCCUGGUAGUC
rnacentral:rRNA from 1 species